AUUUAAAUAGCUUAUAUAUAGAGCAUAACACUGAAGAUGUUAAGGAAAUGUGGAAUUUUUAAAUA
rnacentral:tRNA from 1 species